UACGUAGGGAGCAAGCGUUGUCCGGAAUCAUUGGGCGUAAAGAGCUCGUAGGCGGCUCAGUAAGUCGGGUGUGAAACCUCCAGGCUCAACCUGGAGACGCCACCCGAUACUGCUGUGGCUAGAGUCCAGUAGGGGAGUGUGGAAUUCCCGGUGUAGCGGUGAAAUUCGUAGAUAUCGAGAGGAACACCUGUGGCGAAGGCGGCCAACUGGACGAGUACUGACACUGAGACACGAAAGCGUGGGGAGCAAACAGG
rnacentral:rRNA from 1 species